rnacentral:rRNA from 1 species
CGGUGAAACUGCGAAUGGCUCAUUAAAUCAGUUAUCGUUUAUUUGAUAGUACCUUACUACUUGGAUAACCGUGGUAAUUCUAGAGCUAAUACAUGCUGAAAGCCCCGACUCCGGGAGGGGCGUAUUUAUUAGAUAAAAAACCAAUGCCCUUCGGGGCUCCUUGGUGAUUCAUGAUAACUAAACGAAUCGCAUGGCCUUGCGCCGGCGAUGGUUCAUUCAAAUUUCUGCCCUAUCAACUUUCGAUGGUAGGAUAGUGGCCUACCAUGGUAUCAACGGGUAACGGGGAAUUAGGGUUCGACUCCGGAGAGGGAGCCUGAGAAACGGCUACCACAUCCAAGGAAGGCAGCAGGCGCGCAAAUUACCCAAUCCCGACACGGGGAGGUAGUGACAAUAAAUACUGAUACAGGGCUCUUUUGGGUCUUGUAAUUGGAAUGAGUACAAUUUAAAUCCCUUAACGAGGAACAAUUGGAGGGCAAGUCUGGUGCCAGCAGCCGCGGUAAUUCCAGCUCCAAUAGCGUAUAUUAAAGUUGUUGCAGUUAAAAAGCUCGUAGUUGAACCUUGGGCCUGGCUGGCCGGUCCGCCUCACCGCGUGCACUGGUCCGGCCGGGCCUUUCCUCCUGGGGAGCCGCAUGCCCUUCGCUGGGCGUGCCGGGGAACCAGGACUUUUACUUUGAAAAAAUUAGAGUGUUCAAAGCAGGCCUUUGCUCGGAUACAUUAGCAUGGAAUAAUAGAAUAGGACGUGCGGUUCUAUUUUGUUGGUUUCUAGGACCGCCGUAAUGAUUAAUAGGGACAGUCGGGGGCAUCAGUAUUCAAUUGUCAGAGGUGAAAUUCUUGGAUCAAUUGAAGACUAACUACUGCGAAAGCAUUUGCCAAGGAUGUUUUCAUUAAUCAGUGAACGAAAGUUAGGGGAUCGAAGACGAUCAGAUACCGUCGUAGUCUUAACCGUAAACUAUGCCGACUAGGGAUCGGGCGGUGUUAUCAUUUUGACCCGCUCGGCACCUUACGAGAAAUCAAAGUUUUUG